ensembl:lncRNA
GGAGACAAGGAGUGUCGAGAGACAGAGAAGGACGUCUUGUGCUGCUGAAAGGGUCAGUUCAUUGGGAAGACACACCUGUUACUGCGUGUGUGCCUGAGGACAGGCCCUCAGAGUACAUGAAGCCAGUGGGACUUACAGAAGUGAUGGGUGAGGAUGCAAGUAACUCAUUUCCACCAAAAAAAAAAAGUGUGAAACUGGACAAAAUUGCCCAAAUGAACCAAGACAUGGCACGCAGAAUCAACCGGAGAUGGACCACAAGUUGGCAAGCGCUCGCUCCUGAAGAAGCGACGUCUCCAGGGAGACACAUGCACCUGUGGUCUCACCAGGGCUCUUCCAGGCCCACCACACAACGGGAGCUGGGAGGGUGUGCCCCCCGUGCAGGGCGGCUGCCGGCCGUCAGCGGAGGGCCCAGAAGGGGCAGGCUCCGGCGAAAAGCUGUGGCUCACCAGACAUAAUGAUUUGCUGUUCUGACAUCAGAUCAACAGAGAGAAAUUCCAAUUAGGCUUUGAAGACGCACAUAUUUCAGGAACUUGUCAUCCAGCCCUUCACUGUUUCGAUGGCACAUUAUUAUGACUGGCUCAUCUAAAUAAUGAACCGCGGCUAAAUGGAUUUAUUGGGGAAAAAGAGAAAUGUGAUCUCGACGACUCAGAUGGUGGUGUAUGCUCGCAACCAGAAGAAUUUGUUCGGCCAGUGAGUGAAGCACAGAACACGCAAAUUCAUCAGUAACCAGGACGGCUCAUCUGUUAUGACAAAAUGAUGUUCAUUUGGAUUUUACUGAUUGUAUAGCUUUGUCUUAUUCAAUUUCCUAUAAGUAUAAGGAGCUCAUACAUAAUUUUAUAUUUGUACAUAUUUGAAGUAUUAGUCGCUCAGUCGUGUCUGACAUUUUGUGACCCCGUGGACUGCAGCCCACCAGGCUCCUCUGUCCAUGGAAUCCUCCAGGCCAGAAUACUGGAGUGGGUAGCUUUUCCCUUCUCCAGGGGAUAUUCCUGACCCAGGGAUCAAACCCAGGUCUCCUGCAUUGCAGGCAGAUUCUUUAUCAUCUGAACUACUGGGGAAGAU